rnacentral:rRNA from 1 species
UACGAAGGGGGCUAGCGUUGUUCGGAAUUACUGGGCGUAAAGCGCACGUAGGCGGAUCGAUCAGUCAGGGGUGAAAUCCCAGGGCUCAACCCUGGAACUGCCUUUGAUACUGUCGAUCUGGAGUAUGGAAGAGGUGAGUGGAAUUCCGAGUGUAGAGGUGAAAUUCGUAGAUAUUCGGAGGAACACCAGUGGCGAAGGCGGCUCACUGGUCCAUUACUGACGCUGAGGAACGAAAGCGUGGGGAGCGAACAGG